GCCAGGCACGGUGGUUCACGCCUGUAAUCCCAGCUGCUUAGGAGGCUGAGACAGGAGAAUUGAGUGUUCAAAGCCAGUCUCAGCAAAAGGGAGGCACUAAGCAACUCAAAGUGAGACCCUGACUCUA
rnacentral:sRNA from 1 species